rnacentral:rRNA from 1 species
UGGGGAAUCUUGCGCAAUGGGCGAAAGCCUGACGCAGCGAUGCCGCGUGCGGGAUGAAGGCCUUCGGGUUGUAAACCGCUUUCAGCAGGGACGAAAUUGACGGUACCUGCAGAAGAAGCCCCGGCCAACUACGUGCCAGCAGCCGCGGUAAUACGUAGGGGGCGAGCGUUGUCCGGAUUUAUUGGGCGUAAAGAGCUCGUAGGCGGUUCGGUAAGUCGGAUGUGAAAUCUCCACGCUCAACGUGGAGAGGCCAUUCGAUACUGCCGUGACUCGAGUCCGGUAGGGGAGUGUGGAAUUCCCGGUGUAGCGGUGAAAUGCGCAGAGAUCGGGAGGAACACCCGUAGCGAAGGCGGCACUCUGGGCCGGUACUGACGCUGAGGAGCGAAAGCGUGGGGAGCAAACAGGAUUAGAUACCCUGGUAGUCCACGCCGUAAACGUUGGGCACUAGGUGUGGGACUCUAUCGACGGGUUCCGUGCCGUAGCUAACGCAUUAAGUGCCCCGCC